rnacentral:misc_RNA from 1 species
GGGACGUGGCAUUUAAGGCAGGUAAAUGUGUUUUCUAUGCUUCUCUUUCUUCCAAUAAUGUCUUCAUGUUGUCCUUCUGGGUUUCGCUCAUAGGCCACUAUAUUUUGGGGUUUAGAUGAAUUGGAUUUGUUGUUUGCUUGUGGUUGAUGCUUGACUCAACUUCUAUUGCCAAGAGAGAUUCCUAGAUUGAAUUUCUCAAAUCCCAUGGUCCUUGUCAAUGUCAACAACCGCAUAAAUAUCUCCGAGUUACGUUUGACUGCAUGAAAUACAGUUUCUUUUCCCCCUUGCCUUCUUAAAUUGAAGAAGGUUUUUUUU